rfam:Schistosoma mattheei strain Denwood, Zambia genome assembly, scaffold: SMTD_scaffold0005303
AUUCAGCUGAAGAGUCCCAAAUAGAACAAAGUGUGUGUCCUGUAU